AUGGGAUUCGUCAUCGAUCAACUCGGCCCGGCCGAUCGCCUCUCCGUCGUGUCCUUCUCCGAUGGGGCGACCCGCCUGACCCGCCUCGCGCGCAUGUCGGACGCGGGCAAGGCCUCGGCGAAGCUCGCCGUGGACUCCCUCGUUGUCCAAGCGGGCACCAACAUCGGCCAGGGCCUCCGUGUGGGCGCCCAGGUGCUCGUCGACCGCCGCCACAAGAACUCCGUCGCCAGCAUGAUCCUUCUCUCCGACGGCCAGGACUCGUACCUCGGGGGAAAGAGGUAUAUGGACCUUGUGCCACCCUCGUUCAAGGACGCUGGGAGCCGGCCCGGGCCGAUCCACACGUUCGGCUUCGGCACCGACCACGACGCCCUGGGGAUGCACACAGUCGCGCAGGCCACGGGCGGCACCUUCUCCUUCGUCGGGAACCAGGCGGCGAUCCAGAACUCUUUUGCACAGUGCAUUGGCGGCCUCCUGUCGGUCGCCGUGCAGGAGGCGCGCAUCGCCGUCAUGUGCCUGCACCGGGGCGUGCACGUCCAGGAAAUCAAGUCCGGCUGCUACGGCAACCACGUGGACGCCGACGUCCGCGCGGCCUCCAUCGACGUCGGCGAGCUCUACGACGGCGAGGAGAGGCGCUUCUUGGUGCUCGUGUACGUGCCGAGAGCCCGGCCCACGGAGUCGGUCACCCGCCUGGUCAAGGUGACCUGCGCCUACCAGGACGCCGCAGGCCGCCAACGCCGCCGCACCAGCGGCGGUGAUCCAGAGGCCGCUGGAGCUGACCGACCUGCCGCCUCCGUGCAUGGAGGUGGAGCGGGAGUGUGUCCGCCUCGCCGCGACCCAGGACAUCGCGGCCGCACGGGAUGCCGCUGA
rnacentral:rRNA from 1 species